UCCAAUCAAGAUAGAGCAUGCUUUCUAAGAUCGUCAGUGUCAAUAGAUCUGAAUCAUAUUGUUUUAUAAUGAAUUAUGGACCUGAUCAGAGGAAUCCAUAUUUGAUAAAAUAUAGUCUGGUUAAAAGUUGAAUGUGCAUAGGAGUAAAAGUAGGUUUUUGUUUCUAUGAGGAUUUUCCUGUUAUAUGUGUGUUCACAUUCCAGACUGAGAAUUUUGUGCCUCAAAUUACUCCAAUGUUUACUUUCUCAAAUCUUUGAACAGUCCCAUGCUGGGAAAGUUGUGGAGAGGCACUGGUACGAAAAGAACAAGCAUAUCUUCCCUGCUUCUAGAUGGGAGAUAUAUGACCCAACGAAGAAAUGGGAGCGUUAUACCAUCCACGGGGAUUAAUUAGUGAUAGACAAACAUAUAGUUUUGUAUAAUUUUGAUUUGUAUGCUCAUGUUAUUAGAUUUGGGACCAAGUAUGAAGGUAACUAUAGUCUUUCCUACAAUUAUUUAUAACAAAAUCAUGGAAUGAUGCAAUGGAAAUAUGAUGAUGGAAAGUUUAUGGAAUUAUAUAAUAAUGGACUGACUCUUGAAUCGUA